rnacentral:rRNA from 1 species
UGGGGAAUUUUGGACAAUGGGGGAAACCCUGAUCCAGCCAUCCCGCGUGUGCGAUGAAGGCCUUCGGGUUGUAAAGCACUUUUGGCAGGAAAGAAACGUCGCGGGUUAAUACCCCGCGAAACUGACGGUACCUGCAGAAUAAGCACCGGCUAACUACGUGCCAGCAGCCGCGGUAAUACGUAGGGUGCAAGCGUUAAUCGGAAUUACUGGGCGUAAAGCGUGCGCAGGCGGUUCGGAAAGAAAGAUGUGAAAUCCCAGAGCUUAACUUUGGAACUGCAUUUUUAACUACCGGGCUAGAGUGUGUCAGAGGGAGGUGGAAUUCCGCGUGUAGCAGUGAAAUGCGUAGAUAUGCGGAGGAACACCGAUGGCGAAGGCAGCCUCCUGGGAUAACACUGACGCUCAUGCGCGAAAGCGUGGGGAGCAAACAGGAUUAGAUACCCUGGUAGUCCACGCCCUAAACGAUGUCAACUAGCUGUUGGGGCCUUCGGGCCUUGGUAGCGCAGCUAACGCGUGAAGUUGACCGCCUGGGGAGUACGGUCGCAAGAUUAAAACUCAAAGGAAUUGACGGGGUCAUAGCUGUUUCCU